UUAAAUUGAAGAGUUUGAUCAUGGCUCAGAUUGAACGCUGGCGGCAGGCCUAACACAUGCAAGUCGAACGGUAACAGGAAGCAGCUUGCUGCUUUGCUGACGAGUGGCGGACGGGUGAGUAAUGUCUGGGAAACUGCCUGAUGGAGGGGGAUAACUACUGGAAACGGUGGCUAAUACCGCAUAACGUCGCAAGACCAAAGAGGGGGACCUUCGGGC
rnacentral:rRNA from 3 species